CCUUAUCCUUUGUUGCCAGCGAUUAGGUCGGGAACUCAAAGGAGACUGCCAGUGAUAAACUGGAGGAAGGUGGGGAUGACGUCAAGUCAUCAUGGCCCUUACGACCAGGGCUACACACGUGCUACAAUGGCGCAUACAAAGAGAAGCGACCUCGCGAGAGCAAGCGGACCUCAUAAAGUGCGUCGUAGUCCGGAUUGGAGUCUGCAACUCGACUCCAUGAAGUCGGAAUCGCUAGUAAUCGUGGAUCAGAAUGCCACGGUGAAUACGUUCCCGGGCCUUGUACACACCGCCCGUCACACCAUGGGAGUGGGUUGCAAAAGAAGUAGGUAGCUUAACCUUCGGGAGGGCGCUUACCACUUUGUGAUUCAUGACUGGGGUGAAGUCGUAACAAGGUAACCGUAGGGGAACCUGCGGUUGGA
rnacentral:rRNA from 3 species